rnacentral:snoRNA from 1 species
UGUCUCUGACCUAGGUAGAGUGGUAGCUGGUUGGUGGUGCUCAUCUUCUAGCAGCCAAGGACAAAAGCAAACCCUUUUUUAUCCUAACUUUACUUUUAAUCUGUAUCUAUACCUUGGUCAUGCCUUGGGCACAUGG